UUCUUUUUUGUGGGGGGGGGGGAGGGAGAGGUAAGAUGGUCCACACCGGAUCUCCCUUUCUGUUGAAGACAGAAAUGGGGCCGGGCUUGGGCUAGUCUGCCAUGGAUGGGGAGUCUCAGGGGUGAGUGGGGGAAUCGGAGAAAGACCUUAAACUCUGCUUUUCUUUCUUUUUCUUUUUCUUUUUUUUUUUCUGUGAACCAACUCAAUGGCAAAGUGGUAACUGGUGAAGGAACUUGGGGAAGGAGCCUUAAUGACCUAGGGCUUGGGCUGCAGAGAUUGUCUGGUGGGGAGAUUGGUAGCUGGCGCGUGUGUCCAGUUGGGAGGUGCCCAGUGGAGACCCCAUUUUUCCCACAGCGCCCCUGAGGCUCCCAGUGGGGUGGGGGUGACCCCCAGCUCCAGCUUGGGACACCCUCCAAACCUCGGUACCUACUCCCAAGUCGGGAGUCCGCUAUCCCUCUGCUGGGCCUGUCCACUGUGACGUUGGUAGUAGGGUUCCCCCAGACUUCCUCUCCUUGUAUUAGCCUCGGUCACGCCGCCAGGUCACCCCACUCCCUACCCCCAACCUCAGCCAGGUAACCAUUUAAGCUCUGCUGUUUACCAAAAUCCCUUCCAGGCUUCGUCACCGGCCGCCAAGCUGGGUCCCUAAUUAACCCGUCCACUGCGCUUCCUCCCCGGCGCCGCUCGGACCCAGGGCCUCCGGCGGUCUCCAGCAGGGCGGGGCAGCAGGAGGCGCGCGCUGGAGACCCGGCUUAUUCCCGCGGACCCCUGGGGGCCGCCAGGUGGAAGAUCAGAUCAGUGGGCACUGUGACUGCAGGGUUUUUAAUGAAACCUCUCAAGAGACUGCUGUCAACCCCCUGGACCCCGUCUCCUGCCUCCUGCCUCCAGCCACCGCCUGCCCCCCCCCCCAACCUCCUCCCUGCUACGAACUAAAUAAAAAGCAGUAAAAUCA